rfam:Schistosoma mansoni strain Puerto Rico chromosome 6, complete genome
AUCCAACUGACGAGUCCCAAAUAGGACGAAACACGCGUCCUUUAU